rnacentral:rRNA from 1 species
AUGAGUAUUCUAAGGCGCUUGAGAGAACUCAGGAGAAGGAACUCGGCAAAUUGACACCGUAACUUCGGAAGAAGGUGUGCCCUAUUAGUGUGUAGUGAACAACGAAGCAUGAAUGGGUUGCAAAAAAUCGGUGGCUGCGACUGUUUAUUAAAAACACAGCACUCUGCAAACACGAAAGUGGACGUAUAGGGUGUGACGCCUGCCCGGUGCUGGAAGAUUAAAUGAUGGGGUGCAAGCUCUUGAUUGAAGUCCCAGUAAACGGCGGCCGUAACGAUAACGGUCCUAAGGUAGCGAAAUUCCUUGUCGGGUAAGUUCCGACCUGCACGAAUGGCGUAACGAUGGCCACACUGUCUCCUCCUGAGACUCAGCGAAGUUGAAAUGUUUGUGAUGAUGCAAUCUCCCCGCGGAAAGACGGAAAGACCCCAUGAACCUUUACUGUAGCUUUGUAUUGGACUUUGAACAGAUCUGUGUAGGAUAGGUGGGAGGCUUUGAAGCAGGGUCGCUAGAUCUUGUGGAGCCAACGUUGAAAUACCACCCUGGUGUGUUUGAGGUUCUAACCUAGGUCCAUUAUCUGGAUCGGGGACAGUGCAUGGUAGGCAGUUUGACUGGGGCGGUCUCCUCCCAAAGCGUAACGGAGGAGUUCGAAGGUACGCUAGUUACGGUCGGACAUCGUGACGAUAGUGCAAUGGCAUAAGCGUGCUUAACUGCGAGACUGACAAGUCGAGCAGAUGCGAAAGCAGGACAUAGUGAUCCGGUGGUUCUGUAUGGAAGGGCCAUCGCUCAACGGAUAAAAGGUACUCUGGGGAUAACAGGCUGAUACCGCCCAAGAGUUCAUAUCGACGGCGGUGUUUGGCACCUCGAUGUCGGCUCAUCUCAUCCUGGGGCUGUAGCCGGUCCCAAGGGUAUGGCUGUUCGCCAUUUAAAGAGGUACGUGAGCUGGGUUUAAAACGUCGUGAGACAGUUUGGUCCCUAUCUUCCGUGGGCGCUGCAGAUUUGAGGAAGCCUGCUCCUAGUACGAGAGGACCGGAGUGGACACACCUCUGGUGUAUCGGUUGUCACGCCAGUGGCAUUGCCGAGUAGCUAAGUGUGGAAGAGAUAACCGCUGAAAGCAUCUAAGCGGGAAACUCGUUUCAAGAUGAGAUCUGCCGGGGCCUUGAGCCCCCUAAAGAGUCGUUCAAGACCAGGACGUUGAUAGGUCAGGUGUGGAAGCGAAA